rnacentral:lncRNA from 1 species
CCCUUUAUAGGCGGCUGGCCAGGCCACAUUCGGGAGCCGAACGUGCCUCCGCAACGCAUGCAAGUUCGGCGGCCGAACCUGGACUUCCCUCACUUAUGCCUUCGGGGGCCUAAGGCUCUCCCGAAGUGCAUGCAUGUUCGGCGGCCGAACUUGAGGUUCGGCGGCCGAACCUGGGUCUUCCUCCAAGAUUAUUUUCAUGCAAAAACUCAUUUCCUUUUUACUUAAAACCCUGAAAUACAUUAAAACAUUUUAUAAAAACA